UACGUAGGGUGCAAGCGUUAAUCGGAAUUACUGGGCGUAAAGCGUGCGCAGGCGGUUAUGUAAGACAGAUGUGAAAUGCCCGGGCUUAACCUGGGAACUGCAUUUGUGACUGCAUGGCUAGAGUUUGGCAGAGGGGGGUAGAAUUCCACGUGUAGCAGUGAAAUGCGUAGAUAUGUGGGGGAACACCGAUGGCGAAGGCAGCCCCCUGGGUCAAGACUGACGCUCAUGCACGAAAGCGUGGGGAGCAAACAGG
rnacentral:rRNA from 1 species